GCGACUUCUGCUUCUUCCUGUCCCAUGAAGCGUCGUCCAAGCUGCCCCCAAUUCCCCACUCUCUUCUGACCUCCGCCUCACGAACGAGUCCAAUGUUAUGCAUGCUCAUUGAUCCUUCUUGUUAAUGGAAUUGUGGCACGGGUGUGGCUGGGAGAAAAUGUUGAGCACGAAGGGAAGCAGCUGGAUCACCACAAACGCCGAGGAGAAGCCCACAAAUGAAUCUCGGUUUCCAUUUUGAAGUUAUAGUUGUUGUACUGAAAGAAAAGGAACUCUCUUCUCUGCGAAAACACAAUGGAAAUACAGUUGCGAGGAGAGGGCUCGGCUGCUCCGACGCCUCAAGGUGCACGAGAGAUCCAACGCCCUUGGUGCUGGCAAGGCG